rnacentral:rRNA from 1 species
GACGAACGCUGGCGGCGUGCUUAACACAUGCAAGUCGAACGGAGCGCCAUGGAAUGAGGUUUCGGCCAAAGGAAAUGGUUGCUUAGUGGCGGACUGGUGAGUAACGCGUGAGGAACCUGCCUUUCAGAGGGGGACAACAGUUGGAAACGACUGCUAAUACCGAAUACGCUUGGGAGACCGCAUGAUCUACCAAGGAAAGGGUGGCCUNUACCUGUAAGCUAUCGCCUGAAGAGGGGUUUGCGUCUGAUUAGGCAGUUGGUGAGGUAACGGCCCACAAACCUACGAUCAGUAGCCGGUCUGAGAGGAUGAACGGCCACACUGGAACUGAGACACGGUCCAGACUCCUACGGGAGGCAGCAGUGGGAAU